AGGGCGCACGGUGGAUGCCUUGGCACUAGAAGCCGACGAAGGACGUUACUAACGACGAUAUGCUUUGGGUAGCUGUAAGUAAGCGUUGAUCCAGAGAUUUCCGAAUGGGGGAACCCAGCACGAGUUAUGUCGUGUUAUCGACAAGUGAAUUCAUAGCUUGUCAGAAGGCAGACCCGGAGAACUGAAACAUCUUAGUACCCGGAGGAAGAGAAAGAAAAAUCGAUUCCCUGAGUAGCGGCGAGCGAAACGGGAAGAGCCCAAACCAAUAAGCUUGCUUAUUGGGGUUGUAGGACACUCUAUACGGAGUUACAAAGGAAUAUAUUAGACGAAUCAUCUGGAAAGUUGAAUCAAAGAAGGUAAUAAUCCUGUAGUUGAAAAUAUAUUCUCUCUUGAGUGGAUCCUGAGUACGACGGAGCACGUGAAAUUCCGUCGGAAUCUGGGAGGACCAUCUCCUAAGGCUAAAUACUCUCUAGUGACCGAUAGUGAACCAGUACCGUGAGGGAAAGGUGAAAAGUACCCCGGAAGGGGAGUGAAAGAGAACUUGAAACCGUGUGCUUACAAGUAGUCAGAGCCCGUUAAUGGGUGAUGGCGUGCCUUUUGUAGAAUGAACCGGCGAGUUACGAUCUGAUGCAAGGUUAAGCAGGAGAUGUGGAGCCGUAGCGAAAGCGAGUCUGAAUAGGGCGUUGAGUAUUUGGUCGUAGACCCGAAACCAGGUGAUCUACCCAUGGUCAGGUUGAAGUUCAGGUAACACUGAAUGGAGGACCGAACCGACUUACGUUGAAAAGUGAGCGGAUGAACUGUGGGUAGCGGAGAAAUUCCAAUCGAACUUGGAGAUAGCUGGUUCUCUCCGAAAUAGCUUUAGGGCUAGCCUCAAGUGAUGAUUAUUGGAGGUAGAGCACUGUUUGGACGAGGGGCCCCUCUCGGGUUACCGAAUUCAGACAAACUCCGAAUGCCAAUUAAUUUAACUUGGGAGUCAGAACAUGGGUGAUAAGGUCCGUGUUCGAAAGGGAAACAGCCCAGACCACCAGCUAAGGUCCCAAAAUAUAUGUUAAGUGGAAAAGGAUGUGGCGUUGCCCAGACAACUAGGAUGUUGGCUUAGAAGCAGCCAUCAUUUAAAGAGUGCGUAAUAGCUCACUAGUCGAGUGACACUGCGCCGAAAAUGUACCGGGGCUAAACAUAUUACCGAAGCUGUGGAUUGUCCGUAGGACAAUGGUAGGAGAGCGUUCUAAGGGCGUUGAAGCAUGAUCGCAAGGACAUGUGGAGCGCUUAGAAGUGAGAAUGCCGGUGUGAGUAGCGAAAGACGGGUGAGAAUCCCGUCCACCGAUUGACUAAGGUUUCCAGAGGAAGGCUCGUCCGCUCUGGGUUAGUCGGGUCCUAAGCUGAGGCCGACAGGCGUAGGCGAUGGAUAACAGGUUGAUAUUCCUGUACCACCUAGCAUCGUUUUAAUCGAUGGGGGGACGCAGUAGGAUAGGCGAAGCGUACGAUUGGAUUGUACGUCNAAGCAGUGAGAUUGAGUGUUAGGCAAAUCCGGCACUCUUAAGAUUGAGCUGUGAUGGGGAGAGGAAAUUGUUUCCUCGAGUCGUUGAUUUCACACUGCCGAGAAAAGCCUCUAGAUAGAUAAUAGGUGCCCGUACCGCAAACCGACACAGGUAGUCAAGAUGAGAAUUCUAAGGUGAGCGAGCGAACUCUCGUUAAGGAACUCGGCAAAAUGACCCCGUAACUUCGGGAGAAGGGGUGCUCUUUAGGGUGCAAGCCCAGAAGAGCCGCAGUGAAUAGGCCCAAGCGACUGUUUAUCAAAAACACAGGUCUCUGCUAAACCGUAAGGUGAUGUAUAGGGGCUGACGCCUGCCCGGUGCUGGAAGGUUAAGAGGAGUGGUUAGCUUCUGCGAAGCUACGAAUCGAAGCCCCAGUAAACGGCGGCCGUAACUAUAACGGUCCUAAGGUAGCGAAAUUCCUUGUCGGGUAAGUUCCGACCCGCACGAAAGGCGUAACGAUUUGGGCACUGUCUCAACGAGAGACUCGGUGAAAUCAUAGUACCUGUGAAGAUGCAGGUUACCCGCGACAGGACGGAAAGACCCCGUGGAGCUUUACUGUAGCCUGAUAUUGAAAUUCGGCACAGCUUGUACAGGAUAGGUAGGAGCCUUUGAAACGUGAGCGCUAGCUUACGUGGAGGCGCUGGUGGGAUACUACCCUAGCUGUGUUGGCUUUCUAACCCGCACCACUUAUCGUGGUGGGAGACAGUGUCAGGCGGGCAGUUUGACUGGGGCGGUCGCCUCCUAAAAGGUAACGGAGGCGCUCAAAGGUUCCCUCAGAAUGGUUGGAAAUCAUUCAUAGAGUGUAAAGGCAUAAGGGAGCUUGACUGCGAGACCUACAAGUCGAGCAGGGUCGAAAGACGGACUUAGUGAUCCGGUGGUUCCGCAUGGAAGGGCCAUCGCUCAACGGAUAAAAGCUACCCCGGGGAUAACAGGCUUAUCUCCCCCAAGAGUUCACAUCGACGGGGAGGUUUGGCACCUCGAUGUCGGCUCAUCGCAUCCUGGGGCUGUAGUCGGUCCCAAGGGUUGGGCUGUUCGCCCAUUAAAGCGGUACGCGAGCUGGGUUCAGAACGUCGUGAGACAGUUCGGUCCCUAUCCGUCGUGGGCGUAGGAAAUUUGAGAGGAGCUGUCCUUAGUACGAGAGGACCGGGAUGGACAUACCUCUGGUGUACCAGUUGUCGUGCCAACGGCAUAGCUGGGUAGCUAUGUAUGGACGGGAUAAGUGCUGAAAGCAUCUAAGCAUGAAGCCCCCCUCAAGAUGAGAUUUCCCAACUUCGGUUAU
rnacentral:rRNA from 1 species